GGCCCUGUGGCCUAAUGGAUAAGGCGUCGGCCUCCGGAGCCGAAGACUGUGGGUUCGAGUCCCACCAGGGUCG
rfam:Lottia gigantea unplaced genomic scaffold LOTGIsca_56, whole genome shotgun sequence.